UAGGGAAUCUUCGGCAAUGGACGGAAGUCUGACCGAGCAACGCCGCGUGAGUGAAGAAGGUUUUCGGAUCGUAAAGCUCUGUUGUUAGAGAAGAACGUUGGUAGGAGUGGAAAAUCUACCAAGUGACGGUAACUAACCAGAAAGGGACGGCUAACUACGUGCCAGCAGCCGCGGUAAUACGUAGGUCCCGAGCGUUGUCCGGAUUUAUUGGGCGUAAAGCGAGCGCAGGCGGUUCUUUAAGUCUGAAGUUAAAGGCAGUGGCUUAACCAGUGUACGCUUUGGAAACUGGAGGACUUGAGUGCAGAAGGGGGGAGUGGAAUUCCAUGUGUAGCGGUGAAAUGCGUAGAUAUAUGGAGGAACACCGGUGGCGAAAGCGGCUCUCUGGUCUGUAACUGACGCUGAGGCUCGAAAGCGUGGGGAGCAAACAGG
rnacentral:rRNA from 1 species